ACCGAGACUAGAGUCACAUCUAGAUAUAGUCAGUUAUCGUGGUGUGCUAUGGUCCUCGGAGAGUAAGAACUGGCCUUUAUUCACUGACUGUUCUUUCUGUAGUACAGUUAGCCACCUGGUUAGUGACAGAG